rnacentral:rRNA from 1 species
GACGAACGCUGGCGGCGUGCUUAACACAUGCAAGUCGAACGAUGAUGCUGGAGCUUGCUCCAGUUGAUUAGUGGCGAACGGGUGAGUAACACGUGAGCAAUCUGCCCUUGACUCUGGGAUAACUGCGGGAAACUGUAGCUAAUACCGGAUACUUUCACCGGGGGGCAUCCUCUGGUGAUGAAAGAAUUUCGGUCAAGGAUGAGCUCGCGGCCUAGCAGCUUGUUGGUGAGGUAACGGCUCACCAAGGCGACGACGGGUAACCGGCCUGAGAGGGUGACCGGUCACACUGGGACUGAGACACGGCCCAGACUCCUACGGGAGGCAGCAGUGGGGAAUAUUGCACAAUGGGCGCAAGCCUGAUGCAGCAACGCCGCGUGAGGGAUGAAGGCCUUCGGGCUGUAAACCUCUUUUAGCAGGGAAGAAGCGAAAGUGACGGUACCUGCAGAAAAAGCACCGGCUAACUACGUGCCAGCCGCCGCGGUAA